UACGUAGGGGGCAAGCGUUGUCCGGAAUCAUUGGGCGUAAAGCGCGUGUAGGCGGUUCGGUAAGUCUGCUGUGAAAGUCCAGGGCUCAACCCCGAGUGUGCCGAGGAUACUGGGAGGCUGGAGACGAGUAGAGGCAAGCGGAAUUCCGGGUGUAGCGGUGGAAUGCGUAGAGAUCCGGAGGAAUACCAGAGGCGAAGGCGGCACCCUGGGUCUGACCUGACACUGAUCCGCGACAGCAUGGGGAGCGAACGGG
rnacentral:rRNA from 1 species